rnacentral:rRNA from 1 species
UGGGGAAUAUUGGACAAUGGGCGGAAGCCUGAUCCAGCAAUGCCGCGUGUGUGAAGAAGGCCUGAGGGUUGUAAAGCACUUUCGGUGGGGAGAAAGAGGCCAUUGCUAAUAUCAAUGGCGGAUGAUGUUACCCAAAGAAGAAGCACCGGCUAACUCUGUGCCAGCAGCCGCGGUAAUACAGAGGGUGCGAGCGUUAAUCGGAAUUACUGGGCGUAAAGGGUGCGUAGGUGGUUUAGUAAGUUAGAUGUGAAAUUCCUGGGCUUAACCUGGGGACUGCGUCUGAUACUGCAAAGCUAGAGUACUGUAGAGGGAAGUGGAAUUUCCGGUGUAGCAGUGAAAUGCGUAGAUAUCGGAAGGAACAUCAGUGGCGAAGGCGACUUCCUGGACAGAUACUGACACUGAGGCACGAAAGCGUGGGGAGCAAAC